rnacentral:rRNA from 1 species
GACGAACGCUGGCGGCGUGGAUUAGGCAUGCAAGUCGAACGGUAGGGUUCCUUCGGGGACCUGAGAGUGGCGAACGGGUGAGUAACACGUAGGUAAUCUACCCUCAAAUCGGGGACAACCCAGGGAAACUUGGGCUAAUACCGGAUGAGUGCGCUUUCGGGUGCAUAAAAGGUGGCGUAAGCUGCUGUUUGGGGAUGAGCCUGCGCUCUAUUAGUUAGUUGGUGAGGUAACGGCUUACCAAGGCGAUGAUAGAUAGGCGGCCUUAACGGGUGGUCGCCCACACUGGGAUUGAGAUACGGCCCAGACUCCUACGGGAGGCAGCAGUCGAGAAUAGUCUACAAUGGACGAAAGUCUGAUAGUGCGACGCCGCGUGAACGAAGAAGCCCUUCGGGUGUAAAGUUCUUUAUAUGUGAGCAAUGCUUCCUAGGUGAAUAGUUUAGGGAGAGAGAUAUUAGCAUAUGAAUAAGCAACGGCUAACUCCGUG